rnacentral:rRNA from 1 species
AGAUUGAACGCUGGCGGCAGGCCUAACACAUGCAAGUCGAGCGGUAAGGCCUUUCGGGGUACACGAGCGGCGAACGGGUGAGUAACACGUGGGUGAUCUGCCCUGUACUCUGGGAUAAGCCUGGGAAACUGGGUCUAAUACCGGAUAUGACCUGCUCUCGCAUGGGGGUGGGUGGAAAGAUUUAUCGGUGCAGGAUGGGCCCGCGGCCUAUCAGCUUAUUGGUGGGGUAAUGGCCUACCAAGGCGACGACGGGUAGCCGACCUGAGAGGGUGACCGGCCACGACUGGGACUGAGACACGGCCCAGACUCCUACGGGAGGCAGCAGUGGGAAUAUGCACAAUGGGCGAAAGCCUGAUGCAGCGACGCCGCGUGAGGAUAGAAGGCCUUCGGGUUACGUAAACCUCUUUCAGCAGGACGAAGCGACAAGUGACGGUACCUGACAGAAGAA